UACAGAGGGUGCGAGCGUUGUCCGGAAUCACUGGGCGUAAAGGGCGCGUAGGUGGUGACCUAAGCGUGCGGUGAAAGCCCGAGGCUCAACCUCGGGUCGGCCGUGCGAACUGGGUCACUGGAGCAGAAAAGAGGCAGGUGGAAUUCCGGGUGUAGCGGUGGAAUGCGUAGAGAUCCGGAAGAACACCGGUGGCGAAGGCGGCCUGCUGGGUUCUGGCUGACACUGAGGCGCGACAGCGUGGGGAGCAAACAGG
rnacentral:rRNA from 1 species